UCUACCGCUUUUGGUUGGCUUGGAAACGGCCGUAGCGUCUUUAGUGAAGCUCAAUCUCAGCAGGAUGAACUCUUCCCUGCUGCUCUGAGGAUGAGAGGGUUCACAGACACUGAAGAUGCCUGCAGGUGAGAGCAAAGACCGGGCGAAGACCCGGGAACGAUUCAAUGAAGUCUUCAAGAAAUAUUCAGACUCAGACAAGAAGAAGUCGAAGAAGAAACGCCCUGAAGCUCAAGAGGAGAUCCUGGUGAGUGAU